UCAAACUUGGUCAUUUAGAGGAAGUAAAAGUCGUAACAAGGUUUCCGUAGGUGAACCUGCGGAAGGAUCAUUAUUGAAUAAACUUGGCUAAGUUGUUGCUGGUUCUUAGGAACAUGUGCACGCUUGGCUACUGUUUUUAACCCCUGUGCACCUUAUGUAGUUCUGGAGUCUUUUGAAACAACUUUGUUUCGCGUGGGGAAUUGCGUAAGCUUUCCCUGUCACUCCAGUUCUAUGUCUUUAUAUACCCUUUUAAAUGUAAAGAAUGUCUUUCUAGGCUUUAAAGCCUAUAAAACUUAUACAACUUUCAACAACGGAUCUCUUGGCUCUCGCAUCGAUGAAGAACGCAGC
rnacentral:misc_RNA from 1 species